rnacentral:lncRNA from 1 species
UACCAGUCAUGUGUGAUGAGCAUCCUGAGUCCAAGUACCAUUGGUCCCGAAAUAUUUCGUCAUCUUUUGUUGUGACCAUCAACAAAAUCUCUUCUUCUUCAUGCUUUGCAAACUUUGCAUAAUUAUCCUGAUUCUUUUUUUCCCCAGGACAAUCACUAGAGUAGUGACCAUACUUAUGAUAGUUGAAACAUUGAAUAUGACUUUUGUCAGGC